GAGUUAAUAUUUUUAAAGAUAUUGAAGGUAUAAGAAUAUUUUCAAAUUAUUGAAAAUAAUAUAAUAACAAUAUAUACUACAAUAAAUAUCAACGGUAAUGGGAAUACACUUUUUAUAAUAAUAUUUAUUAAAAAUAUAAUAUCCGUAUUGAAAUUUUUAUUCGUAAAUUCGGCAAGAACAAAAUGCCCCUUUUGGGUCUUUUUAUAUGUACGAUUCUGAAAGUAUCUUAAUAUUUUACCGACAUCUAUCAGUAAAAAUGAUAAAUUAAAUUUUACCAACAAUAUAUUUUUUUAAUGAAAAUAUGUCCUUUAAAAAAUUAUAUUACCAACAGAAAAAUCUUCUUUGUCGAUAGAUGGCGAGUCAGUAGCGUAUAUCGAAGAAUCUAAUCUAACGGAUUCCUUCUUACUCGGUUUAAACAUUUUGAACGUAGCCAUCUUGAGAAUUUGCGCGCGAAGAAAAAUUUUGUCGAAGUUUAUUGUUCUAUCUAAAUUCCUUUUUUCUAAAUCGUAUCGUCAAUUUUAUCAACCAUCCAACGAAUUCAUCAUCUUAGAGAAAGAUAAUAAGAAUCCAAUUGGAAUGCUGAUUCACUAUCUAAGAGAGUUCAGUCAUCGUUCGCUACAAAAGAUCACUACCAACAUGGACGAUCAUAUGAACGAUCAAUUUUAAUGAGAAAAUUAAUGAAUUAAUUAACAGAUGAAGAUAAGAGCUGUUCAAUGUGACAUAUUUCAACAUCACAAAAUUAAGCUAUACGAUCAUGGAGGCAGAACGAAGAGAGUUCCCUUCGAGUGUUCGAGGUGAAUCGAAUGAAGAAGAAGAAGAAGAAGAAGAAGAAGAAGAAGAGGAGGAGGAGGAGGAGGAAGAAGAGGUGAAGCUGGAGGAGGAGGGGCAGAAGAAGCUUACCAGGCGUAUCGUAAAGAGACGGGAGCGACAAAAGUAACGUUGAACGCCAAGGAAGAACAACGUGGAAGAGUUGUGCUGAAGUUUCCACCUCGUGCGAACGAACGAACGAAAGCGAAUGGGACCGGACUCGACCGAGCUGCCCCUGAGGCCAGUGCCGGAUCCUCCCGUCCAAGUGCCCAAGGUCAUCGCAUAGCUACUUACCUAUACCUACCUCUUUUUAUCUCUCCGCGUGUAAUAAUUCGUGAACGUUCUCACGAGAAGGAAGUUUCUUCCUUUCGAUAUCGUACGAUCGUCCUACUCGCGUGCCUUCCCCUCCCAUCCCUCCCUCUCUCUUUCUUUCUCUCUCUCUCUCUCUCUCUCUCUCUCUCUCUCUCUCUCUCUCUUUCUUAUCCUCCCUCUCCACCGACGAUUUUACCUUUUUUUCAUAUAUAUUUUUUUUUCUUCCUUUUUCCUUUCCUCGAAUAAAUUUACAACUCGAUGACGUCGUUGAUUUCUUUCGACGAACAUUUAUGUUCUCCCUCCUGUGAAAACUAUAUAUAAAAGUUGUAACCUCGAUAAGAGAUAGAAACUUUGAUACAUACGCGUAUUACGCGUACAAAAGGGAACAAUCAUAAUAAUCUACGAUAUCGUAGAAGAAAAUAUAAAAUGUUAAGGUUAAAUAUAAAUGAUUGGUUAAAUAUAUAAGGUUUAAUAUAUAUGAGUGUGUAUGUGUAUAUAUAUAUAUAUAUAUAUAUAUAUGAAAUAAAUGGUAUUCGAGGUA